CCUACGGGUGGCAGCAGUCGAGAAUCAUUCACAAUGGGGGAAACCCUGAUGGUGCGACGCCGCGUGGGGGAAUGAAGGUCUUCGGAUUGUAAACCCCUGUCAUGUGGGAGCAAAUUAAAAAGAUAGUACCACAAGAGGAAGAGACGGCUAACUCUGUGCCAGCAGCCGCGGUAAUACAGAGGUCUCAAGCGUUGUUCGGAAGCACUGGGCGUAAAGCGUGCGUAGGCUGUUUCGUAAGUCGUGUGUGAAAGGUGCGGGCUCAACCCGCGGACGGCACAUGAUACUGGGAGACUAGAGUAAUGGAGGGGGAACCGGAAUUCGCGGUGUAGCAGUGAAAUGCGUAGAUAUCGAGAGGAACACUCGUGGCGAAGGCGGGUUCCUGGACAUUAACUGACGCUGAGGCACGAAGGCCAGGGGAGCGAAAGGGAUUAGAUACCCGGGUAGUC
rnacentral:rRNA from 1 species